rnacentral:rRNA from 1 species
UACAGAGGUCCCAAGCGUUGUUCGGAUUCACUGGGCGUAAAGGGUGCGUAGGUGGCCAGGUAAGUUCGGUGUGAAAGCUCGGAGCUUAACUCCGAAAAGGCAUUGAAUACUAUCUGGCUGGAGGGUCGGAGGGGAGACUGGAAUUCUCGGUGUAGCAGUGAAAUGCGUAGAUAUCGAGAGGAACACCAGUGGCGAAGGCGAGUCUCUGGACGACAUCUGACACUGAGGCACGAAAGCUAGGGGAGCAAACAGG